UACGUAGGGUGCAGGCGUUAAUCGGAAUUACUGGGCGUAAAGCGUGCGCAGGCGGUCUCUUAAGUCAGAUGUGAAAUCCCCGGGCUUAACCUGGGAACUGCGUUUGAAACUGGGAGACUCGAGUAUGUCAGAGGGGGGUGGAAUUCCACGUGUAGCAGUGAAAUGCGUAGAGAUGUGGAGGAACACCGAUGGCGAAGGCAGCCCCCUGGGAUAAUACUGACGCUCAUGCACGAAAGCGUGGGGAG
rnacentral:rRNA from 1 species